GUUCAGAGAGUCACAGAAAGGACAAGUCACAGGAAACUGUGGGCAUGAAAUCAAAUACUCUAGAUGCACAGCACAGGGUUUGGAGGCUGAAGACUCCUAGGAGCAAGAAAGGAAGGAGAGAACCCAAGGAAACCCUGUCCAGGGUAGAGCGGUGGAAACGUGGCGCUAACAAAGACUUCCUGUUCGGCACAGAAUCCAGGCUGGCAGAGGCGGCUGCAGGGCUGUGGGUGUACUCAGCUGUGCAGAGCUGAUUAUAGAAGAUGAAAGGGCUUGGCAAUUCACUUCAUCUCAUGCUGAAACACUGCUGACAACUGAAAGUGAGGACAGAAGGAUUCAUUUGUUCAACUUCUGUUUUAAAAAGCAGACUUCAAAUGAUACCAUGGAGAAAAGGAGGCGGGGCCCUGGUGUAAUGGUGUAAUGCGAUGCUUUUUUUUUUUUUUUAUAACACACUAGCUGCAGCGUUUAUGUUUUGUACAUGGCU
rnacentral:lncRNA from 1 species